GACGAACGCUGGCGGCAUGCCUAAUACAUGCAAGUCGAACGAGCUUCCGUUGAAUGACGUGCUUGCACUGAUUUCAACAAUGAAGCGAGUGGCGAACUGGUGAGGUAACACGUGGGAGAUCUGCCCAGAAGUAGGGGAUAACACUUGGAAACAGGUGCUAAUACCGUAUAACAACAAAAUCCGCAUGGAUUUUGUUUGAAAGGUGGCUUCGGCUAUCACUU
rnacentral:rRNA from 1 species